rnacentral:tRNA from 1 species
UUAAAAUCCGUUGGCUUUUUAGACCGUGAGGGUUCAAGUCCCUCUACCCCCA